rnacentral:rRNA from 1 species
UACAGAGGUGCCAAGCGUUAGGCGGAAUCACUGGGCUUAAAGCGCGUGUAGGUGGACGGGUAAGUAUCUUGUGAAAUCCCACGGCUCAACCGUGGAACUGCUGGAUAUACUGCUUGUCUUGAGGCACUUAGGGGCAGCUGGAACAAAUGGUGGAGCGGUGAAAUGCGUAGAUAUCAUUUGGAACGCCAAAGGCGAAAGCAGGCUGGCUGGGAGUGAUCUGACACUGAGACGCGAAAGCCAGGGGAGCAAACGGG